rnacentral:rRNA from 1 species
UACGUAGGGGGCUAGCGUUGUCCGGAUUUAUUGGGCGUAAAGAGCGCGUAGGCGGCCCUGUAAGUCCGCUGUGAAAGUCAAGGGCUCAACCCUUGGAUGCCGGUGGAUACUGCAGGGCUAGAGUCCGGAAGAGGCGAGUGGAAUUCCUGGUGUAGCGGUGAAAUGCGCAGAUAUCAGGAGGAACACCAAUUGCGAAGGCAGCUCGCUGGGACGUAACUGACGCUGAGACGCGAAAGCGUGGGGAGCAAACAGG